GACGAACGCUGGCGGCGUGCUUAACACAUGCAAGUCGUACGGUAAGGCCCUUUCGGGGGUACACGAGUGGCGAACGGGUGAGUAGCACGUGAGUAACCUGCCCACAACUUUGGGAUAACGCUAGGAAACUGGUGCUAAUACUGGAUAUGUGCUCCUGUUGCAUGGUGGGGGUUGGAAAGCUCCGGCGGUUGUGGAUGGACUCGCGGCCUAUCAGCUUGUUGGUGGGGUAGUGGCCUACCAAGGCGGCGACGGGUAGCCGGCCUGAGAGGGUGACCGGCCACAUUGGGACUGAGAUACGGCCCAGACUCCUACGGGAGGCAGCAGUGGGGAAUAUUGCACAAUGGGCGCAAGCCUGAUGCAGCAACGCCGCGUGCGGGAUGACGGCCUUCGGGUUGUAAACCGCUUUCAGCAGGGACGAAGCUUUUUGUGACGGUACCUGCAGAAGAAGCACCGGCUAACUACGUG
rnacentral:rRNA from 1 species